UGCAUCCAGAUAGGCAGGAAAGUUGAGAGUGCUGUCCAGAGCGGUCACAAUGGUGCACUCUGGGAUAGCUCGCGGAGGCCAAUAUUGUCAAAGUGCAUCCAUACUACCC